GGACAUACUCCUGCCAGUCCCCAGUCUGGGUCGGGUGCCUCUGACCAGGGUGCGCAGAGCUGUUGCAGAUGGCUGUGCCCUGCCCCCGUGCACCCAGUUCCGGGGGCGCCACACUGCACCCACCUGGGGCUCUCUCCUCACAGUGGUGCAGGGGCCCUUGCCCGUCUCACGGCACCUGCCGCCUUGUGCCCUCAGCUCCUCACUUCAUCCUGGGGUCUCUGCUCAGCACAGAGCCCGGUGCCCGCGGGGAUUGAAUGAGCCAUUGCUUGUUGCUUCAUAGGCGUGCAUUUGUGUGUGGUAGCCAGGAGGUGGCGAUGGGCUGUGUUCCUCACACACAGGACUCUGGCUGCCAGCUGCCCUCCUGCAGAGCCAUGGGUUUGGCCCUGUACCUGGAAGGGAUUGGAAUCUCCUGGCCACACCUUUUGCAGCAUGAUUCUGUGACGAGUUUAGUUUUCACUUCGCUAGAGCUUGGCAGGGUGCGUGGUGCCCUCAGUUGGCAGUGGAUCACAAGAUUGGCUGUUUUAUUAAUUCUGGUUGAUACAAACAUAUGGGCAGUUGCAGACUGUCCAGAGACUUGUGUAAGUCUUCUGGGUCAUAAAACAUAGGCAAGCAGAGUCACCUUGUACCUUCCAAACAUGCUGCAUGACACGCCUCUCCUGAGGUUUGGCAUGGACACUGGGGCCACCGCGUGGGCUCCAUGCCAUGCCCGUGGCUGUUGGGGUUUUCGCUUGUGCAAGUCUGAGACCCCUGUUCCUGCCAGGGUGCACUGCCCUCCCACGUCUCCUCCCCUCCUCCUCCCCAAGUCAGCCUGCCCCAUGCCUCUUUUUUGGAUGUACCACAGGCUGAGGGGAGAGAGGCCACAGGUUGUCAGCUCUGAGAGAUAUGCUCUGAGGGGGACUUGAGCCAGCCCCAGCUGGCCUUCACUUCUCACUGCUCCAGCGGCUCUGCCCGAGAUCCCUUGCGGAAGUAGGAGUUAGUACCUGCAAAGAUGAUGACUGUAGUCAGUUUCAACAAGCAUACAGCUUAUCCAAAGACGCCUUGUCGCUAGUAGAGUGGCUUUGGUCUUUCAGGGUCACACGUCUCUGACAUCUCUCUGUUGGGGUCCCUGCAGCAGUGAACAUUUGCUGUAAAAGGAAUUCUUUGUCCAGUUACCUCGGGAAAUAAGAUAGUAUUGUUUUGAAAUACCCCUGUCGCAUCUUCUUUUUUUUUCCCAUUUAAAGUAUGGAUCAUGACUUAGGGGGUACUUAGCGAUGGACUUUGUGAAAUUGUUUUCCAAGGUGGUCCAGCAUUACCAGCUCUGCCUGCGUGGGCAGCAUGAGCACGGCCAAGUCCUCCAGCCUUGGCUGCCCCAGUGCUGUGGAAGCCCUCGCAGCUCGUGACGGGCGUGCUCUUUCCUUUCAGAGAUGUUCGACAAGCAGCAGGCAAACACCAUCUUCUGGAGCCCCCAAGGACAGUUCGUGGUGUUGGCGGGCCUGAGGAGGUAGGUGUCUGCGCUCUGAGCCUGUCCACCUUGUGAGUAGCACUCUGCCGCGGCAGAGACCCCUCAGGCGCCUGCACCCAGCUUCUUGGUAGAGGGAGUCUUGUGCACUGAAAGGGUUACCGUGGUGUCAGUGGAUGGGACUUUAUUCAACCUUUGCGGACCCACGGCACUCCAAGACUCAGGCCAACCAGCACAGAGUGAAAUAAGCGCUCCCAGAUGCUUUCGUGAAGUGAUCAGGCAGACCCGUCUGUGGGUUGUGGUUCUUCGUGGUUAAACAAGUGUCUUCCAGCAAUUCAGUAAACUCCCCCCCGGGGGUCAGUCCCGUGUCUUCUGGUGGGAAGGGUAUUCGUUACACAGCUGUGAGCCUGCCUUACCUUUGUGGUUGGUGUCACGAUGUCGGUCUCAGCUAUGUUCCAGCAGUGUGUCGAAAUCGUGGAGAAGCUUCCAGCUUUCUGCUCUGAGUUAAAAAAAUACCCUUUUGUUGCUGCUCUCCCUUGCUUCAUUGUUCACACUUGCUACUGUAUUUUUGGAGGCUUACUUAGCCUCAGAUAACAUUUCCAGUAAAAAUAAUAUGAUGGCAGACGUGUGUAAUACUCACUGCCCACUCUGCAUCUGUGAUUUGGUAAGUCUCACAGCGGCCACCAGAGGCUGUUGCUGUGCUCGUUUCCAUGUUAACGCCGAGGCUGGCUCCCUGGGGACCCCAUGCCGCAGCACCUCUCAGGAGUGGGAUGCCAGGAGGUAUGCGUCUCCUGAAGCCUGAUGGUCCUGUCUGUCUUUGCAGUAUGAACGGUGCCUUAGCGUUUGUGGACACUUCGGACUGCACGGUCAUGAACAUCGCAGAGCACUACAUGGCUUCCGACGUCGAAUGGGAUCCUACUGGGCGCUACGUCGUCACCUCUGUGUCCUGGUGGAGCCAUAAGGUGGACAACGCGUACUGGCUGUGGACUUUCCAGGGGCGCCUCCUGCAGAAGAACAACAAAGACCGCUUCUGCCAGCUGCUGUGGCGGCCCCGGCCUCCCACACUCCUGAGCCAGGAGCAGAUCAAGCAAAUUAAAAAGGAUCUGAAGAAAUACUCUAAGAUCUUUGAACAGAAGGAUCGUUUGAGUCAGUCCAAAGCCUCAAAGGUGAGCCUCAUUCCCCAGAGUGAGGGCUGUGCUGCGACAUCCGCCAUCACGGCAAAGGUGGUGGGGCUGCGGGGCCAAGGCGGGGCAAAGGCAGGGCUGCUGUGUGUGUGCUCAGAGUUGCCUCUGCCCCGGAGACACUGGUUCUGUUUCCCCCCCUAGGAGGGAUGCAGUGGGGAACUGGGGUUGGCACGGGGACCUGGAGUUGGUGACCUCACUGCUGCCUGGUGGGCGGGGGGCAGCGUUGGGGGGAAAGUGAGAACAAAUGGACUGGCCAUUCCUGCUUGAGCGCCUCCGUAUGCUGUCCUUCUGGCACCGUCCGCCUGGGUGUGGGCUCUUCGCGAUGGGGAGGCACGUGUCUUACCAGUUCUGUGCUUUGCCCAACCUCGUGCAUAGGAAUUGGUGGAGAGAAGGCGCACCAUGAUGGAAGAUUUCCGGAAGUACCGGAAAAUGGCCCAGGAGCUCUAUAUGGAGCAGAAAAACGAGCGCCUGGAGUUGCGAGGAGGGGUGGACACUGACGAGCUGGACAGCAACGUGGACGACUGGGAAGAGGAGACCAUUGAGUUCUUCGUCACUGAAGAAAUCAUCCCCCUCGGGAAUCAGGAGUGACCUGGAGCGCUGUGGGGACGGACCCCACCUGCUGCUCCUGCGCUGAGCUGCAGGACGGAGCGUGAGCCGCAGUUCGUCUGUUGCAGUGCAGCCACGUAUGGCGUGGAGCCGAGGCCAUCCUGCAGGAAGCCACGUGACUCCCGCCUCCUCCCCGUGCUCUCUGGCUCUGGACUGUGACUGCGCCUGGAUUCUGCCAUUGCGACACAUUUUUGUGCCUUUCAGCCCCUGGUGUCUGCAGUGGGGGGUUUAAGGCACCCGCUUCCAUUUCUUUCUUGUUUGGAGUUUUCUGUCGGAACCGCCGGCGUUGGCUCCGUAGACUUAGCAACGCCACCGGCAGCACCUUCUCCUGCGCCCAGUGAUGUUUCCACGGUGCCUGUACACAGCCGAGCGGCAUUUCCGUUGAAGGACUUGCAUCCCCAUCGUGGGCAGUGCUGGAUGUGUCCUGGAGACCCACCGGGAGGGCACCGCCAUGCCUCGCACCGCCACCGUGCAGGUUGUGGCUGGUUUUCUCCGCAGGUUGAACGUGGAAAUAAAAGCAAACUUGUAUG
rnacentral:sRNA from 1 species